CGGGGGGGGCAAGCGUUGUUCGGAAUUACUGGGCGUAAAGGGCUCGUAGGUGGCCAACUAAGUCGGACGUGAAAUCCCUCGGCUUAACCGGGGAACUGCGUCCGAUACUGGUUGGCUUGAGUUUGGGAGAGGGAUGCGGAAUUCCAGGUGUAGCGGUGAAAUGCGUAGAUAUCUGGAGGAACACCGGUGGCGAAGGCGGCAUCCUGGACCAAUACUGACGCUGAGGAGCGAAAGCCAGGGGAGCAAACGGGAUUAGAUACCCCGGUAGUCCUGGCCCUAAACGAUGAAUGCUUGGUGUGGCGGGUAUCGAUCCCUGCCGUGCCGAAGCUAACGCAUUAAGCAUUCCGCCUGGGGAGUACGGUCGCAAGGCUG
rnacentral:rRNA from 1 species